GCUCGUCGCCCGGCUCGGCGUCGGGAGCGCGCUCUGUGUGGUCGCUGCUGCAGUGUUGUUGUGGCUGUGAGAAGGCGGCGGCGGCGGCGGAGCAGCAGCCGGACCAGACUCCCUAGUAGCUCAGGCGCUGCCCUGCGCCGGCCCUGGCAGGGAGCCUGGUGAGAUGGUGGAGGAGGAGGCUGUGCCGUGGCUGGCCUUGCUGUGUCCUGCUGCCUGGGAGGUGAGUGUGCGCCCUUCGCUCCCUGCCGUGUCUGUGAGGGUCCAUCGUUGCCGGAGACUGGAGGUCGGGGGCCAUGGGAGCCCCGGGGCGAACGGUGCGGACAUGGGCCUUGUGGAAAGGAGGAGUGACCGCCUGAGCGUGCAGCAGGACAUCUUCCUGACCUGGUAAUAAUUAGAUCCUUCACUGAAUUCAACCCAGUCUACUCAACAGUUCACCAAGAGUCUUGCUAUCUCCAAUUUCAGGAUAUGCUUUCCAUCACCAAUACCCAGAAAAUUAUCACUGCAAAGCUGAGCGGUUUCUGGAGAAUCUUGGCUCAUUCACUGAAUUCUUUGGGAAGGGCUGCUUCCCUUUGCACAUCUUCACUAAACUUGGACCUUUUUGAUGACUCUCAUUUUUUAUCACCACCAUAGUCCUUAGAUGUCCAGUGGAGCAGGGAAACUGAUGGUUUUCUGCACAGGUUGCUCGGGGCAAAGAUGGAAGUUGGAAGUAAGGAAAAGCAUGGAGUUGGAAUUGUAUGCUGAAUGCUGAAGCAAAAGAGUACUCAACGUCUCUAUGGUUUUGCUUUGUGCUGGGCCUUCCUAAACCUUGUGAACACCUGGUAAAUGUUCAUUUGAUUAUGUCAAGCUCUUUGGAGCAGUAGCUUUCAACCCUGAUUAGGAUGUCAGAAUCCUUUGGAAGAAUUUUUUAAAAAUCUAUGGGCAUGGAACCCAUCCAUCAGUAUUUUUAAAAAUUUCCCAGGUGGUUUCCAUGAGUAGCUAAGGUUGAGAACCGUGGUUUUGGAUUUCCCACUUGAUGAUUUUAAACCAUAACAUCACUUUGCCUAUUUUUCUAAAUAUUCCUCUUUCUACAGUCAGCUUUCAAAAGUCAGACUACAACUGAAUCAAAGAAUUAUACAAGAAAGGGGAAACUGAGCCAUCCUUCAGCAACUCCAGGAACAAAUCAAGGUACAUAUAAUGAUGGGGUAGUAAAUGCUAAUACCGUCUAUCUUCUUCCCUUGUAUCUAUCCCUGUUUUUGUUCCCCUCUUUCCACUCUGGCUUCCUAUUCUCCCUUUGUGGCAAAAUAUCCACUAUUCUUGAAGACAGCGAACCAGCAAACCUGCUAAUAUUAAAGCUUCAGUGACCCAAUAGGUAGCUACACUUUGAGGAACAUUUUCAUUUCCAAAGAAAUUAUCUGAAGAGAAAAAUGUCUAAUUCAAUGGGCUGAAAUGCAAAUUGUUAUGUUUCAGGCUAGAAAGAUAUCUAACCCAAGGAACUUCCUUAUCAUGCUCUGGGAGACAGUAGGCUGCCUCAUGGAAGGCCGUUAUAGAUGUCCAACUAAACAUUGCAAAAAAUAGAAGCAUUGGCUUGGGACUGAGAAAUGAUAUUCAUUUGGUGCAAAAGUAAUUGCGAUUUUUGCCCUUGAAAAUGAUGGUUAAAACUGCAAUGACUUUUGCAUCAACCUAUGGAUUAGUAAUUGAUACACAAAGACAUGACACAUGAGAAUACCAAGUGCACUGCUUGGCACAUAGUAGACAUUCAACAAAUGCUUCUUGCUGACAACUUUUGCUUUCCUCCUCAAUCACCCACUUUUUAGAAUCCUUGAAAAAAUCUUACAAAUUUUUCAAAUAUUCAGGAAACUUAAAUAACAUCAGAUUUAGAGAAGAAUUAUUGACUGUAGCCAAUUUUUGGACCUAUACAUUUUUUAAACUAUGUGAUGGGAAUCUCUUCAUUUUUUAGAGCAAAAUGGAUGCAUAUCAAUUACAAACCUUGCUAAAUCAUCCUUUCUAUCUCUGAGGCAAUAAAAUUCAUUAUCCUGGUUAGUUUGAGGAUAUACUUAACCCAUAAACACCAACAGCAAGUAUAGAUUCAGACAUUUGUAUCUAUAAUUUAGACAGUUUAAAAUGCAAUAUUAAGUAAUUCAAAAAUUGUUCAAAGCUCAGUACCUUUUCACACAUUAAUACUUUGAUUAUCAACUUCCUUUUAAAGAGUGAGUAGAAAAGGUUAGUAAGUAGAAAAGAGUAAAAGAGGCCUUUCUUUCACAACUUGCCAAGACGUGCAUUACUUAUUUAAAAUAAAAAAAAAAUGCUGUUUGAAAAACAAGAAGGAUGGCAAGAAUGAAGCUCCUUCAUGCAAGAUACCUCUGACUACCCUCUAAAGACAGUUACUAUGGCAUGGUCAUAGAAUUACUGCAGGAAAAAAUUUGUCCACUGAGGCUGCUUCCUCCAGAGGUAAGGUUUAACUUAUGGUAACUUGCUAUGGAUCAACAGCUCAAGAUGAAGUGUGUGGCUGGCAAUUUAAGUGUAAAAUUAGAUUUCCAGUAUAAUCAGUCAUCUGAUAGCCCAUCUAAAUGUAUUCUGCAUUUGCACAUUUAAUUAAUUAUGUCUUAAUUGAAAACAUUUUGCUCAUAAUGAUUGGUUCUAAUUUUAUUCCAAAUUAAAUUAGUAGGGGAGAAAUUUAGUUUGGGAAUUUAUUGAUUUAUAUAUAUAUUAAAGAAAAAGUAAAAAUAAUGGAUUUUCUCUUUUCUUCUUAAAAGGAAAUAUCUUUCUGCUCAUUUAGAGGUGCAAAGGAAAACAUUUAGAACUUUCCAGAUGAAUAAAUUGCAUUUCAUCUGAAUGAACAUCUAACUUUGGAGAUGGAGAGAACAUUCUUUUGUAUUGUUGUAGAUAUGCCUAGUAUAAUAUUGGUAUAAUUAAUUUUUCAGCUACAAUGCAGAUUCCUGGGUCAGUGCAAAAGACCUUGUUUAUUUAGAAGUGAUUAUCUGAGAAAGUGGCUCAUUAGUCUUAGAUUCUUGGAAUGCACAGUCUGGUCUAGAGAUUAAAAUAGCUAUUUAAAUUCCCUUUAUGAAAAUUGUGCCUGACAGGGCACUUCCAUGUGCAGUGAGGUUUGUAUUUGCACAUCUAGAGCAUCCAGGAAAUCAGCAAAGGUGGGUUUUGUGUCUUUAGAUAUGCUACAGUUGAUAAACCCUAAGAUUCAGAUAUUAACUAUUGGAUAAGCUCUUGCAUUUCCCAUAACUUUAGCUUUGAAGCCAUUCAUUACCUUAAUACUAAGGAAAGAAUGUCAGAAAAUCCAAAGAGAGAGAAUUCUCAGUUAUGAUUUUUGGACAUAUAAUUGGAAAGAAGUCAGAUUUGGCUUUUACAAUUAGUGCCAUAUAAUGUCACACAAAGUAUUUCCUGCAGUGUGCUCAAAGAGGUCAAUUUGUGAUUUAUUUGCAAGUCAUAGUUCUGAAAUUACUGACUUGUGUGUGUAACAAUUUAGCUUUAACUUGGGCACUUAAUUUAGCAUUAAAUAUAGCUCCUCUUCAAUAUUGACCCUUGCCCUGAACAAGAUGUCAUUUCAUAAACCCAGUUAAACAUGGUGCCUACUGUGGUUUAAAUACCAAGACAGAUUAAAUGUAUUGUCCAGUUUCACAGAUCAGCAAUGCUUCUCUUCCUGUAUCACUAGCUCAUGAUAAUAACAUAAGGGACCAGUCUGUGCCAGUGGAUGGGCCAGAAUUAAAAGAAGAUAAAUAUUGAUGUCCUGCCUGAAAGAAAACUGGGCACCCAAGGUGUCAGAGAGUUGUCUGAUAUACUGUGACAUGAAUGUCCCAUAUAUAUAAAUUGCAGCCUUUUUAAAAUAAGGUAGAAUUGUUUGUGGAAGAUUAAAAACUCUCUUUCUAAAUUGUUGAAUUAAAAUAUUUAGUUAAAUAAAUCACUGCUAUUUUCAUCAAUGUUGGAGUUGUUUCUUCAAGUUUGUGUGUUUUCUCAAUUAGAAAAAAAGUCUAAUUUGUUUAAAUAGUGAGAAGUCAACAUUGAACUGUUGUCUACUCAAUAGCCACAAUUCCUUAUUUCUUGUUCACAAUGAAUAAGAAAUUUGUAUUGUUGCAACAAGUUCACAGACAAUGGAUUCCUCUCUCAAUCUGAGAGGAUGAGCCAUGGUUGAUCUAGGCCAUGAAUAUUGUGGUAGAUUGUAUUGUGUGUUCCUAAUUCUUUGUUCUCUGGCCAGGUGCAGUGUCUCACGCCUGUAAUCCU